CCACACUAUACAAGGCUCUGAAGCUGCUUCGCUUUUUUCAGCUGUGCUGAAAUACACAUAGGAGUCUCCAAACCUGUGGUACAAAUGCCCACGGACACUACAAAAUUACUGCUUGCAGAUGUUAUUUUAACAGAAGACUCACUAAUGUUAAAGAAUGGAGCCUAUAGAAAAUAAGAGGUUCUUUAUGUUCUGUAAUCUUCUGUGCAUGAAAAUCCCUGAACACAUCUAUCCUUGAUAGAGUCCAGAAGAAACAAAGAAUGCCAUGCAGUCCUGCUAAGUUCACUGAGCUGGAAUGAACAAGUACAAGAUUUUACAGUUUCUCUAACCAUGACUGCAAGCAAAACACAUCACGUUGCAUUUCCGGAGGGUCUCGUGUCACUGUAAUGAUGCAUGGCAUCCUGUUAAGGCCUUCACAUUAAACACAGAACUGAAGGCAAUCUCUGUUCCUGGGGUGGCUACAAAGACUGAAAUAGUGAAGAUUACUGAAAGCAAUGAAUCAAAAUGACUACAAGCUGGGUGAGCAGAAGAGACAUAUGAAUAAAAUGUGCCAGAUCCUCUACUUUGCAUGCUCUGUAGCCAUUUACACCAUUUCAAAAUGGGACACAGUCGUUUCUAUUCAGGUAUAAUAACAUCUGGACAAUCUGGCCUCCUGAACUCUGUUCAAAAGCAGAUAGAUACUGUUUGCCCAAUUAGAGACAUUAUUAUCCUGUUACAUGCCAGGAACUUCAGAUUCUAUAGACCUAUUCUGUAGACCUAUUUGC